UCUCAACACAGCUGUGCCAAUUCUGCAGCUUUAUUUUGAUGAAGCAAGCCUUUGGCAGUCUGAAAACAUGCUGGUGCUCUAUUUUCUUCAAGGCCUGAGAGGGACAUCGUUGAGCCAGAGGAUGAGGAAGACCAUGAGGAUGCCCCCCUGAACAACACCACCUUGAAGCAAGAGUCCUGCUCCACCA